UACGGAGGGUGCAAGCGUUAUCCGGAUUCACUGGGUUUAAAGGGUGCGUAGGCGGGUAAGUAAGUCCGUGGUGAAAUCUCUGAGCUUAACUCAGAAACUGCCGUGGAUACUAUUUGCCUUGAAUAUUGUGGAGGUGAGCGGAAUAUGUCAUGUAGCGGUGAAAUUCUUAGAGAUGACAUAGAACACCGAUUGCGAAGGCAGCUCACUAAAUUGUAACUGACGCUGAGGCACGAAAGCGUGGGGAUCAAACAGG
rnacentral:rRNA from 1 species